UUGGUGAAAGUGUUGCAGAAAUCAAG
rnacentral:piRNA from 1 species